rnacentral:lncRNA from 1 species
GAGCCGCGGAGUCUCCAGCGCCCCUGAGCAGAUCCCACUCUCCCGGGCGCUGCUACUCACACAGGCUUCCAGCCGCCACGGGGCGUCCUCUGUCUGCGGCAGCAGCGGCGGCGCGAGCGGAGGCUGCAGUCUAGCCGGGUCUGGCUGCUCGGCGCCCUGGACAGAGUCCGGCAGAAGCGCGAUCGGGAGGAGACGCCGAGGCAAGGAGGAGCCGCGCCGCGCCCGGCGCUCGCUUGCCUCGAAUCCCCGCACCGCGGCCCCAGGUCCUUGACAGCCAACAUGAUAAAGUAUUGACAAUACGCGGAGGAGAGAGAGAGAGACUCACAUCGCUCAGACUGUGAGUCCCAGAAGUUGAUGACCUUGUUUGGUGAUUGGGGGUGGAAGGAAGAACAGACCCCAUGUGAGUAAGUAAUUGAACGCCGGGGAGUUUUCUAGUCUUGGAUUCUGGCUUUUCUUGUUUUUUGUUUGUUUGUUUGUUUUGUUAUGUUUUGUUAUUCAUUCAUUCAUUUAUUUGAUGAAGGUUUGGGAUAGACAGAUAGGCAAUGACAGGUGGUGGCAGGAACCCCUUACUUCAGUAACUCACUUGCUCUAAGAUGAGUGACAGCUAACCACAAAGCACAGAGACCUCAGGGAAGUGAGCAGGACACACAUGCCACUUAGCCACCCACACAUGUAAUUCUCCGCCCGGUCAAGAAUAAAGCACAGACUCCCGGAGUGGUGACCCGGGGGAAGGUAGUAUUAUGAGUGUUCAUUGAAAACAUUUAACUCAAAAUGAAGAAUUUGACUGUGAAAACAAGCUCAGCGUAUAUAAUCAUAAAACAUAACACACAAAUAAACACUGCAUGGGUUUUAUUUUGAAGACGAUACUCGGUUCCAGUGUGGAUGUGGCUCUGUGUCCCUGAAUAAUUUUCAGAUUGGACAUUGUACAAAACGCUUUUCCAUCUCUCUACAGACUCACAUUCUCGUUUUGGUUCCCAAUAUUCUCGUAGUUUGUGAACUAGAGGGGGGAUACACAAGCGACCCAAGGUGCCAGGGAGACAAGUACAUCUUUGUUCAAGCUGGGAAAGGUACCAGGCUUAUCUGGCUUCCUCUGUCCCAGGAAGGAGGUAUGCUGAAGCUCGCUAGUUGGUUGCCGAGGGUAUGUAAGUUUGCUUUACAGGUUUACCCAUGGUGGCAUUUCCCACUCUGAAAGAGGGCAUCGUGCUGCCGGGAGCUGCAAUCUUGUCAUGUGGAUUUUAGCAGUAUGCUCUAAGAGAAAAUAAAGUAAAAGCUAUGGGUAAGAGGAUUUGCAUUAUGGUGUUAAUGAAACUGGUAACAGUGUAGAAACUUAAGUGUCCUCACAUAAAGGAAUGUUCGGAUAAAUUAUGGCCCCUUCUAAGGUACAGUGCUGUUGUAACCACGAAGACAAGCUUUUAAAGGCCAUUUAACAAAAUGGGGAAGCAGAUUAUCAUAAGUGAAUAAAGCAAAGGUUUCCCAAUUAUAUUUAUGAUAUGAGCCCAUUUUAUAAAGAGAAAACAAUUGCUGAGGGAGAGCCUGGAGCAAAGUACCCCUUCCACAGGACCAAUGGUCAUAGCUGGGUGAAACCUGUAGUAACAGUUUUGGAUGACAUUCGAAGUAACAUUUUUUGUGUGUUUGUUAUUUUCUUCUGUAAAUACUGUCCAGUGAGCAAAUAUUAGGAGAUUUUACACAUGUAUCCCCACAGCUCCUUAGCACUCCAACAAAAGUUCACAACUAAGUAAUAUUUUGCCUCCAUACAUAUGAGUUUUCUUGUAAAGCUGGACCUUCAGGUUUUUGAUUGAAAACCCUGGAGGCUGGAUGAGCAGUGGGAUGCUUUCCCUGGGAGAGUCUGUUUCCAUCGUAUUCCUUAACACAGUAGCAACCCCUACUUUUACCAGUGUUGUUCCUGUCUUGUUCACUGAAUGCCUGGUUUGUGCCAGUGUUGAGUCAUAUUGAAGGACCAGACAGGCAAGCCCGAGGGACUAAGAUGUGAUCUAGUGAAGGGUGAGGGCGACACAGAGGCGAGUAGACUUCUCUUGCUGUUGACUGUCCAGUGUCUCAAAUGGACUUCCUGGAGCCUCUAAGAUGAUGCCCAUGGUAGGAGGACACUGGCAGCUUCUUUGAGCUAAUGUUAGUACUACGCUGUCCACCCUUCAUUCAAAUACAAAACAGACAAAAAGCAGCAUAGGCUCAGAGGGAAAUAGGGAGGCGUGGAAGUAAUCCUGGUAAAAUGUGACAAGUGUAAAGAAUUUCUCAAAAACCUAAUACAGCAUGUUGUAGAUAGAGUUAAUUAAAAGAAGAUAGCUGGAGUCAGAAUCAAAUUCUCCUCUUAGAUCGAACAGUUGGUGUCGUAGAUUUUUUUGUGAGUGAAGGGGACUCCGAAAAGCUCACUAGCAGCUUUCAAAUUAAAUAAAUGGGGCAACUAAUCAAAGAAGGAAGCAUCUACUAGACACUCACUUAUACACUCAAUUACUUUUUAUUUAUGCUUCAGCUUCCUGUUAGAAUUUCUUAAAUUGGCUGUGAAGUGGCUGAUGUGCAGCCUUUAUAACCUGGACAGAUCUGGUGUGAAGGGAAAAUAAGUGGCAGCAUGCAGCUUCUUAGAGUGGAACCCGUUAGCAUGUGGCGAUGUCGAAUCUGCAGAAAUAACUGGUUCAAUGGAAAUGUAAAGGCCAAUUAGUGCGUCUAUGAAAAUCAAUUAGUUAACAACUAUCAAAAUUAAAAACAUAUAUCUCCAGGUUAUUAUAGAUGGGCCUUGCCAAUUUUUCUCACUGGGGACCACUAAAAACCUGUAUAGACCAAACAAAUGAACAUUCGUAUGCCAGCGAACAGAAUGAAUGCUCAAGAGCACUGGGGGAUUACCUCACGGGGAGUUCCCAGGGAUCUGCUGGCUCUGACAGUGAUGCUGAAGACCUUUGCUUCAUCUGGGGCCACAAGCUUGAGACUGCCAGUUAACCUGAACCGGAUCAACACAGAUAAACCUACACCAAGAAGUUAGGGUCGAACAGAAGAAGAAGGAGGAGGAGGAGGAGGAGGAGGAGGAGGAGGAGGAGGAGGAGGAGGAGGAAGAAGAAGAAGAAG